rnacentral:rRNA from 1 species
UAGCGUAUAUUAAAGUUGUUGCAGUUAAAAAGCUCGUAGUUGAACCUUGGGCCUGGCUGGCCGGUCCGCCUCACCGCGUGUACUGGUCCGGCCGGGCCUUUCCUUCUGGGGAACCUCAUGCCCUUCACUGGGCGUGUUGGGGAACCAGGACUUUUACUUUGAAAAAAUUAGAGUGUUCAAAGCAGGCCUUUGCUCGAAUACAUUAGCAUGGAAUAAU